UUCGCCAGAAGUGAGCCAGCUCUGGCCCAGUAACGGUUGCCAGAUUUGGCUGGGUUUUGGAUCAGUGGAUCUGGCCCGAUUCUGGUUGAGAAACGGCACAUUUAGCCGCAUUCAGCCCGAAUGUGGGCCACAAGUGUUAAUCCCAAAAAUGUCAAAAUUUAAGUUUUCACUCUGUGUGUUAAUAUUUGGUCCCCAUAAUGGACAUUAAACCUGUACAGGCACACACAGUUAAUUAAUUAGGCUCAAUUACAAUUUUUUACAAAAUUUUAUUUGACAUAUUUUUUCAAAAGUUUGUAUUACUAUUUUAAGGUAUAUUUCUAUUCAUUUUAGGCUGACCUCAAAUGGACUUCGCUUAUCAUUUGAAAAUGUUCCCUUCAUCUAAAUUAUAUGACACUUUCUGACUGUGUGUCAUUGUUCUACACCCCUAAAAUAAAAUGGUAUCUGGCUGUAACAGAUCUAAAAAAAUGCUUUCACCAGGUCUCCCCUUUAUAAUACUAUUUUCAGGCUUGAUAAUCAUAAUGUGGUAUAAUUUAAAAACUGAUACCUCAACUUUUGCCAAAAUAUAAUUUCAAAUAUUGAUAAUAGUCAUUUUAUUUCCAAAUAAAAUCCAAAAACAAAAUUUAGUGAGUAGGAUGAGCCAAUAAGUGAUCCUCUGCUGCCAUCUUCAGGUUAUGAAAUCCGUGAGUGAAAACAACAAUUUUUAUUAAUAAGUGUUAAGUAAUAAUAAUAAUAAUAAUAAUAAUAAAUAUAAUUCAAGGUAUACUGAGUUAAAUUUACAUGUCAGAUAAUAAAAAAUAAAUUAAUAAAAUAGAUAUAAAUAUAACUUUGGCUAUUUUACACCUCACGUGCGAAGCCCGCGAAAGAACCAGAGGCUAUAUAAGCUGCGGUCCGCUCACAUCACGCGCACAGCCGGACUCCCUUUGACUGAGUGGACAUCGCUUGACGGAAGAGCUUUCCUCAGGUUGUCAUCCGAUUGUUGUCAGUGAUCAGUCUAGUCAUUCUGCAUCUUGCCAUGUUCAACACACUGCUGCUGCACCCCAAAUGCUCCACAGCAUUGAGCGUCUUUGGCUUUAUUUGUCAAGAUCAUCUGAAAAGAGUGCAUCUGUGCCAUUUUGCUGGAUGGAGAACCCGAGAAGUUUAUAAACAGAUGGCAUGGUGGAAGAAGCGAGCAGGCCCUACAACAACAACAACAAAAAUCUUCCUGAGGUAUGCUACAAAUGUUGUUAACAUUUACCAUUGAGAUCACAUGAGAUCUGACUAACAUAUUGUUUCAAUAUGUGUCCCCUCUUUAUGUCUCUCUUUCAUUUAUUCUGUCCCUCUUUUAGGAUAAACUUGAGGUCCUGAGUUUUUAUUGUGUUUUUGUGCAUUUGUUGA